rnacentral:tRNA from 1 species
GGGGUUGUAGCUCAGUGGUAGAGUGCUUGCCUAGUAUGUAUGAGGUACUGGGUUCGAUCCUCAGCACCACA